UUAAUUUUUAAAUACUAAAAAUUAAUAGUAUUCAAUGUAAUAAGUAAAAAUUUCUUCACAUAUAAAUGGUGCAAUUUUAAUUUGAUUCUGCUCAGUGGAAAUUUUCAACAUUAAAGCCCAGAGGACAAUAUAAGUUCAUGGAUACAACUCAUUCGUGCUCUUCAGUUUGUUACUACUAGAUUCAUUCCAUCUAUAAUUAUAAACCUAAUGAGACAAAUCAUACCCUUCUCACAUUAAUUUACUCCUUUAAAGAUCUUCAGAAACUUCUAUUAGGACCUACUUUAGCUGCCAUUCUACAUCACUUCAAAUCAGAGUGGAUUUUGUCAAUAUGUCCUUAUAUUUUGGGAGAUAAAUCCUACAAAUCUAGUUUCACUUGGUGAAAGGAGUUGUAUACCUUAGAACAAGAUAAUUUGUCAGUAAGUGGUGUGCAAGAAAGCUUUGUAAGUUAAGUAACUAACCAUAAAUUGCAGUCAUUGAAGAUAAAAAUGCUUACUGUUGCUUUAUUCAAGACAAGCCUAAGAGUAAAAAUUCAAAAGCAACUCUCUAAAGUACAACUAUAAGCCUUCAAGAAAGAGUUGAACAAGCUAUCUUAAGAUUUAGAAGGCAUCUUCCAGUAGUGGGACACUAUAAUCACGGCAGUAAGAAGCAAAAUGCAUUCCCAAACAGUAAGCAAGACAUCCAAAAGAGCACAACCUAAAAACAAUAUGAUCUUUGAAUUUGGCCCUUUUGAGCCUCUUUUAUUCCACAUAACUUAGGUAAAGAGAGAUGCAUUGAAUUGCAUGGACAUGAUUC
rnacentral:misc_RNA from 1 species